GAUGAACGCUGGCGGCGUGCCUAAUACAUGCAAGUCGAGCGAACAGACGAGGAGCUUGCUCCUCUGACGUUAGCGGUGGACGGGUGAGUAACACGUGGAUAACCUACCUAUAAGACUGGGAUAACUUCGGGAAACCGGAGCUAAUACCGGAUAACAUGUUGAACCGCAUGGUUCAACAGUGAAAGACGGUCUUGCUGUCACUUAUAGAUGGAUCCGCGCCGCAUUAGCUAGUUGGUAAGGUAACGGCUUACCAAGGCAACGAUGCGUAGCCGGCCUGAGAGGGUGGUCGGACAGACCGGAACUAAGACUCGGUCCUUGCUCCGACGGCAGUCAGCAGUAGGGAAGCUUCCGCAAUGGGCGAAAGCGUGCCGGAGCAACGCCGCGUGAGUGAAGAAGGUCUUCGAAUCGUAAAACUCUGUUAUUAGGGAAGAACAAAUGUGUAAGUAACUAUGCACGUCUUGACGGUACCUAAGCAGAAAGCCACGGCUAACUGCGUGCCAGCCGCCGCAGUAA
rnacentral:rRNA from 1 species